CCAUGCAGGUGGGGGCCUCCAGAUGAGACAACACACACUGCUGUGGAGUUGGUCAUGCUGUGGAUGUUGCCUCACAGCAUUUGCAGGACUGCCAUACCCUGAAAGUGAUGGCGCCACACUGCAUAAGUAAACUAACAAAGAAGUGUCAGGGCCUCUAGAAGGACCACAGCCGUAGUAGUAGACCACAACCAGCAGUAGUGUUGGAGCCAUCCAACCCUCUUCUGCUGGUGUUGCUGGGUCCACAGGGGUCUCUGGAUUUGACAAUGCUGUAUCAUCUGCACUGAAUAAGAACAUCUUUGUUCAAAUUAUCCACGUUAUAGAUGACUACAUGCAAUGGUGAAUAACAUGUUAACAUGUAUUCAGUUGUGUCCUCCAGUACAAUGAACACUGAUUAUACAUAUACAACUCCUGCCACUAAGUCUGUUGUUCUUGCUAUUUUGACCUUUUUUUUUUAAUUAAUUAAUUUUUUUUUUUUGAGGAAUACAUCUCUGAGGAAUAUAAAGUGUUGAUUCCAUAAGUGCAUCACACCACCAGCCUGGGUACUGUAUAGCAGAAAGGUCCAAGGAGCAAAUGAGGUAAAAGGACACAGCAUGACAUGUAACUUAAAAUACCACUUAAUUUGUAACUUGUGGUGUAAAGUCAUGUUUGCUUCUGAACUGUACUGCAGGUGGCCACUCAGACUCACUCAGAAGUUCUCUCUCAAGCACAGGAAACCCAACAGCAGAUUAGUCUGAGCUUGGACGAGCUGGUGAUGGUGCAGCUGGCUGUACAAAACAUGUCCCAGGCACUUUGACAAUCUGUUGAAGUGCAGAGGAACAUUGUGCAUUCACUGCAGCAGCUGGUAACACUUACUGAGCACUUCAUUAAUGCCAACACCACCCACCAAUAAUUUAUAGCAUUUUAAUGUUUACCUUUAUUAAGUUUACCUUUAUUAAGUUAUUAAGUUAUAACACUAAGUUAUGAAAUUAAGUUAUAUUAAGUUAUAUUUCUUUUCUGUAGAAUUAGUUAUAGCAAUUCUAUCAUUAACCUCGAGCAGCAUGUUAAUGUUAGUGCAAUAUAAUACCAAACUUCACUGUGAUACCUACAAUGCUUCUGUGUUACUUAAAGUACAAAAAUAAGAUUAGUGUUUUGUGGUGACCUGCUGGUGGCCAUUUCUACAAAUAUGUUUAUUUACUUUUUUUUUUUUUUUCAGGAUGUGAACUAUACUCAUAUAUGUUAUAUUUUUCUUAUUCUUGCAAAGACUUUGGUAACUGGUAAUAUUAUUUUAUUUUUAAAUAAAUCUACAGCAUUUUUUUU